AAAGUCCAAUUCUUUUAGUGGCAAACAAAAGAGAAAACAAUGAGCACACAAUUUGCGGCAUUUCCGAGAGCUCUCACAAUAGCAUGGAGUGAAAACAACGAAUACUGGAAAUGGAACAAGGAGGAACGUUGCAGUUAUACAAUCGAAGAUGCAGAACUUCUUGAGGUAUCUUGGUUUGAUUGUUUCAUUGACGUGAGUGCUUCUAGCUUAAAACAAAAUACUUGAUACACAGUAAAUAUGGAGGUGAUGUUGAAAGAUAAUGCCAAUGGAUGGGACCUUCCUGUGACCAAGAAAAUCGUGAUGCUAGAUGGGAGCGAGGAAGAGUCUAAAGAAAUACUACAGAAUAAGCCAAGAAAUGAGUGGUUCAAUAUCUUGAUAGGAAAAGUCUUACUACGGAGCAGUGGGUUGGUUCAAUUUCAGCUGUCUCAACUUGGAAAACAUUGGAAGUCAGGGAUGAUCAUAAGAGCCCUGUAGUGAACGCAUAAAAAUGAGCCUGAGAAUAAUAUGUUAAGAGAUCAAUAUAAAGUAAUAGAAUGAAAUGAUAAAUAAUAGGUCCUUUUAUUUCCAAGUAAGAAGGGUAAGUUUAGACACUUUAUGUUUUAGUUAUAUGUUAAAUGUUGAAUACAUGUGAAAUGAUAAAUAAUACAACCUUUUGCGUACUAGCAAUAAGGUUAGUUUAAACACUUUAGUAUGAUUUUCAAUCAAA